UAUAACAUCUGACUCAGUUCU
rnacentral:piRNA from 1 species